rnacentral:rRNA from 1 species
UACAGAGGUGGCAAGCGUUGUUCGGAAUUAUUGGGCGUAAAGAGCUCGUAGGCGGCCUGUUGCGUCCGCUGUGAAAUCCCGGGGCUCAACCCCGGGCCUGCAGUGGAUACGGGCUGGCUAGAGGCAGGCAGGGGAGAACGGAAUUCCUGGUGUAGCGGUGAAAUGCGCAGAUAUCAGGAGGAACACCGGUGGCGAAGGCGGUUCUCUGGGCCUGUACUGACGCUGAGGAGCGAAAGCGUGGGGAGCGAACAGG